AGUCACUGACAUUAGAUACCCCUGUAGUCCAGGGUGUAAACGCUGCAGACUUGGUGUUGGAAGUCCUUUGGGGGCAUUCAGUGCCGGAGAGAAGUUGUUAAGUCUGCUACUUGGGGAGUACGUCCGCAAGGAUGAAACUUAAAGGAAUUGGCGGGGGAGCACCGCAACGGGAGGAGCGUGCGGUUUAAUUGGAUUCAACACCGUAAACUCACCAGGGAAGACUGUUACAUGAAGGCCGAGAUGAAGACUCUGCUAGAUUUUCAG
rnacentral:rRNA from 1 species